CAACGCUAAUAACCAACACAUAAAUAACAUCUUUUUUUUCUUGACUCCCCUUUAGAUUCAUCAGCAACUUUUUUUAGUCAACAUUAAUUUGUGUCCAAACUGAGAAUCAGGGAGAAACAUUUGAAUUACCUUUUUUUCCCAUUUCGUUAUUGUUUUCGUAAACUAUCAAAGCCGUUCAUAACAACUGAUUUGUUCAUUGAUCUGAUUAAACUUUUGUUUGCUUCAUUUUUUGCUUCACUUGAAAUCUUUGCGAUCGUCUGUUCAUCCUCCGAUCAUGAAUAAAUUAGUCUUUUACAGUUUACUUGUAAUCGCUAUUUCCUUCCUAAUCAUCUCGUCAACUCCAUCGAGUGAAGCCUUCUUCGUUCUCGUUGGCAACACGACAGCCUGUGAUACUUGUGACGAUUACAGUACUUACUCUGGACGUAAUGUCGUUUGCUGUUUCGCCAAAAGCCAAUGCUGUGGGCUUAACUCUUUUGACGAGGAAGCGCCACAGUCGCGUUGAUCAAAAGGUUUCACCAACAAAUCAAUGGAAUGGUGUUUUUACGUUUGCUUGUCAAUCUCUUUGUGGUUUCUGUCUUUUCACUCCUGUCUUCACAAUUUGAUUAAAUAUUUGAUUUAAACCUCUGA